ACUAAAACCUGUUAAUAAACUUAA
rnacentral:siRNA from 1 species